rnacentral:rRNA from 1 species
UACGAAGGGGGCGAGCGUUGUUCGGAUUUGACUGGGCGUAAAGGGCGCGUAGGCGGCGGGUCAAGUCGAGUGUGAAAGCCCCGGGCUCAACCUGGGAAUUGCGCUCGAGACUGGUCUGCUUGAGUUCGGGAGAGGAGAGUGGAAUUCCCAGUGUAGAGGUGAAAUUCGUAGAUAUUGGGAAGAACACCGGUGGCGAAGGCGGCUCUCUGGACCGAGACUGACGCUGAGGCGCGAAAGCGUGGGGAGCAAACAGG